CAGUCGCCGCGGUAAUACGUAGGGUGCGAGCGUUAAUCGGAAUUACUGGGCGUAAAGCGUGCGCAGGCGGUUUUGUAAGACAGGCGUGAAAUCCCCGGGCUCAACCUGGGAAUGGCGCUUGUGACUGCAAAGCUAGAGUGCGGCAGAGGGGGAUGGAAUUCCGCGUGUAGCAGUGAAAUGCGUAGAGAUGUGGAGGAAUACCGAUGGCGAAGGCAGCCUCCUGGGAUAACACUGACGUUCAUGCCCGAAAGCGUGGGUAGCAAACAGGAUUAGAGACCCGUGUAGUCCCUGUCUCUUAUAC
rnacentral:rRNA from 1 species